rnacentral:rRNA from 1 species
CGUAGGCGGGAUGGCAAGUCGGUCGUGAAAUCCUUCGGCUCAACCGAAGAACGUCGGCCGAUACUGCCGUUCUUGAGGGAUGCAGAGGAGACUGGAAUUCCCGGUGUAGCGGUGAAAUGUGUAGAGAUCGGGAGGAACACCGGUGGCGAAGGCGGGUCUCUGGGCAUCUCCUGACGCUGAGGCGCGAAAGCGUGGGAGCAAACGGGAUUAGAUACCCCGGUAGUCCACGCCAUAAACGAUGACGACUAGGUGUGGGGUGGUUCAGUCCACUCCGUGCCGCAGCUAACGCAUUAAGUCGUCCGCCUGGGGAGUACGGCCGCAAGGUUGAA